rnacentral:rRNA from 1 species
AGUUGGUGCAGUUCUAAGCAGAGCGUCGUGGCGGGAUCUACGUGUGAAGCGGAAUACAUAGCUUCUUCGGAAGUAGCAAAUGAAGGAGUCUGGAUGAAGGAGUUCAUAUCUGAUCUAGGUGUAAUACCUAGUGCAUCGGGUCCAAUGAAAAUCUUUUGUGACAAUACUGGUGCAAUUGCCUUGGCAAAGGAAUUCAGAUUUCAUAAGAGAACCAAGCACAUCAAGAAACGCUUCAAUUCCAUCCGCGAUCAAGUCAAGGAAGGAGACAGAGAUUUGCAAGAUACAUACAAAUCUGAAUGUUGCAGACCCGUUGACUAA